AUGGCCUAUCUUUCAGGAACUAUCUUUCAACCCUUAAACCUUGGGGGGGCCACACAUUCAUGCAAACAUUGUGGUUCUUUGUUUUGGUAUGAAGAGUGUAUCCGCAGAGAGAGACAUACUUCUGAUCCAACAUAUAAUUUGUGUUGUAAAGGAGGGAAACUCUUCCUGAAACCAAUGCCUCCUCCUCAGCCUCUAUUGGAUUUAUUAACCUCACAGAACAGUACAACUUUGAACCACUUUUUUGAUCAUAUCUGGUAGUAUAAUACCAUGUUUGCGAUGACUUCAAUGGGUGCUAAAGUUAUUGAAUCCAUAAAUGAUGGCCGAGCAUCCUAUGUUUUCAAGAUUAGUGGUCAAGUCUGCCAUCGUAUCGGUUCUCUAAUGCGACCUGAGAAUCGUCAACCAGAAUAUGCACAAUUGUACAUCUAUGAUAUAGAGCAUGAGGUUAGAAACUGCAUAAAUAUUACUGCAUCUUCUCACCCUCCAUCAUCUCGGUCUUCGUCUUCCCGCCCUUCUUUCAAUGCUAAUCAAGAUAUUGUCCAGUCCCUUAUAUCGAUGCUUAACACCCAUAAUCCCAUAGUGAAACUAUUUAGAACAGCACGGGAAAGAUUGACUGUAGAUGCUCCUGAUCAGUUCUUUAUCAGAUCAUAUGGCAAACCCGACGCACAUGGAGACAUCUAUAGUGCUCCGAUCACAACUGAGGUUGUAGGGUUGGUUGUUGGUGAUAUUGGGUCAACUGAUGUUGGGAGGGACAUUAUAAUAGAUAACCGUUCAUCAGUAUUACAACAAAUCAAUGAAAAACAUUGCAAGUUUAUGGCUAUGUAGUAUCCUUUAUUAUUUCCAUAUGGAGAGGAUGGUUACCAUGAUGACCUCAUGUACGACACCUCGCCACAAAUUCAAGCUAUAAGCCGUCAAAAAGUAACUAUGCUAGAGUACUAUGCAUAUAGACUACAUGAUAGACCAGGUGAUUUCAACACGCCAUUGAGAGGUAAAAGAUUGACACAAGCUUAUGAAGUGGAUGGUUAUUGUUGUGUUGAAGAAUUUUAUAUUGCAUUCUAUCGCAAGCCCGGAUUUCAGAAAAAAUAUAGAUCAUCAUCAUAUAAUGACUUGGCCAAUUCAGUCUCAAGAGGUAAUACAUCCGGUUCUUCAGUUGGUCAAAGGAUUAUAUUGCCAUCUUCAUUCACCGGAGGCCCGCAAUAUAUGUACCAAAAUUAUCAAGAUUCCAUCGCUAUAUGUAGGAAAUAUGGUUGCCCAGAUCUCUUUGUCACAUUCACUUCAAAUGCAGCUUGGCCUGAGAUAGUAGAGGCUCUAUCAUCCAUUCCAGGGCAACAACCUUCUGACCAUCCAUAUAUGGUUAAUAGGGUAUUCAAAAUGAAGCUAAAUAUGCUAAUGGAUGAUAUUAAAAAGAAACAAUUCUUUGGACCAACGAAUGCAGGUAAUUUGUCUCCCCCACAUCAUUAA
rnacentral:rRNA from 1 species